UAGUGUUCAUCAUGGCGAUCAGAUGGCACCAGGAGAAAUGGAGCCCCUGGCCAAUGAGUCCUAGCAGUGCAGGAGGGGAGACCCUGGAGGAGAGCCCGCCUAAUUUGAUGCCUGCAGAUUGAAUUUCCAGAGUCUUAGGAGGAAGUUCUCCA
rfam:Pteropus vampyrus cont1.112172, whole genome shotgun sequence.